CCCGAUAACUCCGCACUGUUUAUUUGAAAUGUUAUUUACUAGUUACUUUUUGUUGGUACACAUGUGUUCAUAUUAUUAUAUUUAUUAAAAAAAUUCAUACACAAGAAAAAUGACAACUUUGAUAAUUAUCAAAUAUUUUUAUUUGUGGAAGUGGUCAUGAUGUGUUUGCAACAACCGUCUUCAUAUCAGACUGCAGUAAAAUUAAAUAGCUAUAUUUAAAGAUUCAUGUGAUGUGAGUAAUUUUUAUAAGAAUUUAUCAUUUAAGCAGGAUAAUACUCAACGUAGAAGUAUAUUAUCCAAUAUGGCAGAUAAUUUAAUUGAAACAGUAGCAGCUUCUAUAGAGAAAAUUUGAUUGUUUUGUUCCCCUUUGUCAGUAACAAUAAAAGAACAGGAAUAUAAUAUUUUAUGAGAUGUAUACAAAGAAAACGAUGAUUGUUCCUGCACCACCAAGUUAUAGUCUCUAAGUGAAAGACUUGAACGUCUAAGGUUUUGUGGCAUCGACCAGGAAGAGAUAUGUGGAUCCGCCAUGGUUGGAUUAGAAUCUAAUAUCUGUGGUCCUUCACACAUAUAUAACUAAUAAUAAACGAUAUAAAGACUAAUUUCGAUUGACUAGGUAUUAAAGUAUAUUAUAAUGUAUGGACAGGGAUACCAUGAGUAAUGCAAUGCGGAUGUAAUGUGAGAGGACAUCGUGACUGAUUUACUCAGAACUUGAUUUAGUUAUUUGACCACUAUGAAUCAAUGAGAUUGUUUAAAUUUUAAAUCAUUCGAUUUACGAAUAACUGCAUUAUAGCUCACUACGUCCUAUAAAAAAUAUGACGAAUCAUGCCGUGACAAAACCUUCAUGACCAUUUUGUUUUUCAUUUAUAAAAUCUAUCCAGCAACAAUAGUGAAUUAUAAUAUAAACACAUAGCUAUAGAAAAUAUAAACACAUUUUAAUAACCGUGACCAUACAUUUUUACUUGAAUAAUAAUUGUAUUAUGAAAUACAUAUUAUUUUGUAGAGUCCCAAGAUUUGCAAGUAAAAUAACAUAUAGCACUACGCCCGGAAAACUGAUGAAUCUUCCCUUUAUCAAAACUAAAUUUAAAAUCUGUAGAAGAACCAAAAAGUUUUGUAAAAAGUGUCCAAAAAUCAUCAAAUAAACAAAAUACUUGAGUUCUGCGAGAUUUUUCGAGGGGUCGGGAACACAAGCUCUCAGACGUUCGUUUUUCGGAGCGCCUAAGAGCAAUUUCAUCGGCUCUGUACUUUCUGACAUGUCAUUUAACGCUUUACAAAAAUAAACAUUACUAUUUUUGUUGUAACAUGGUAAUGUUUAUUGUUAGUUAAAAUAUUUCAGCAACAGCAAUAAUGAGCGACGUGGCUGUAACUGAUGAAUGGAAUCUCUGAUAUCUGUUCAUUAAUCAUUAUAUUUACAUUUCAUUGUAGGAGCCUUCAUAUAAAAGUAAAGAUUUUUUUUAUAAAUUAAGAGAAUUAGUUUGAAUUUUAAAAGACAAAUAUUAUUCAAAAACGUUUCAGAAUAUUUAAAGAGUAUUUAAAUCAGAACAUAUAAACCUUCAAAUAUUUCUUGUAAUCUGAGGUAUUUCAAAAUUCGAACACACUUUUGACAUAGCUAGUGAUUUAUUUCAAAUCCAUUUUGCUUUAAAUACAUUUUUAAAUCAGUUUUUAAUAUGUACCGCAUAUUAUGGACAGUUAAUUUCAAUAACAAUACAGUUAGUUCCUUCCCCUUAAAAAUAUUUGUAAUGUAAAAAAAAGCUUUACGUGCGAUUGUGUGCAAAAUUAUUAAUAGAAAUAAAAUGAGUGUUCAUUAGUAUUAUUUAUGUUAAAGCUUUUAACUAAAAACAUAUGGACGUAUUAAAGGUGAUUGUAACUAAACGACAUUGUUUAUUAUUUAAUUACGUAGAAAACAAUAACUAAUAGUUGAUAUCUCAAAAAGGCUAUAUAUAAAAAGGUUAUACCCUAUUAAAUAUACCGAAUUAUUGAAGAAAUCACAACAUAACUAAUAUUGUUGAGUGACUAUAAAAAUAUUAUUAUUCAUCCGUAUAUAGUACUUUAGCCUGAAGAAAAAUUUAAUAACAAUGCACAUAGAGUACUUUUGCAUUCACAAAUAUAAUAGGAACUUUUUUUAAGGUAAUGUAAGUUAUAUUUUUACGUUCCAAUGUUAAAUUUCUCGGUCCUUAAUUAGAAAUGUUUACAUUAUUAUACAAGCAAUUUUGAUUUAUUAUCUAAUAAUGUCUAAAUCAACGAAAUUCGCGUAUUUCUUUGUUAAUAUUUGUCUAUAUGAAAGAAUUUUGGGACUUGAACUUAUUAAUUAUAUUCUAAUAUUUAUAGUAACAAGAAAUUGUUU